rnacentral:lncRNA from 1 species
AUGCCCGCUGUGUGUUCCCUGUCAUUCCCUUCCCUCCCUUUGCUGGAGCUCAGGGCUGACAUUUCGGGAAGCCCAGAGCGUGGGCAAGACGCCCAAAACAACAGCUUUCACGAGAGAAGGAAAAUGUCACUCGCAGAGCUCGGUGCCAAGCAGCGCGCCCGGCGCACGCGGGCAGCACCGUGCCGCAGCCGUGCCCCGCGGGGAUGGGCUCUGCUCGCAGGUUUCUGCUGCGGGUGGAAGCGAGCCCUGGCCUGGCUCGAAAGUUCAGGUUGUUCUGCCUUUUCUAAGCAUGUUUGUAAUGUAGGGAGCAAGAGGGUUUUGCACUGCUUUGGGGGCACGAAGCUCGUAGCCUCGCCCCGCAGGUGCUUCUGUCUGUGCCGUGGCUCCCUCCCUGCCCGCGUCACCCAGGUGGCUCCUGAGAUCUUUCCAUACACGUUUAUCACCCGUUUUCCCCUUACAGGAGGAGAGUUCUUCCACUUCCCUAAAUCCACCCAUUCCCCCUGCCAAAAACCGCUGCCACCCUUCCCCUUGCAGGGUUGGGUUUGUCCGACUCCACUAACAAAAUCUCAAUACCCACCGCUAUAAUUUAAUGACCGUGUUAAUGCACGCAGGUAUUUUGGUAAUUUUACCACUUCUCGACCUCAUCCCGGGCUGCUUGCUUCAGACAGGGCAUUCCUUUGUUCGGGAGGCAGCUCUGAUUCAUCUCCCAUUAGCGUUUUUAUAGUUCCGUGCGUGUCCAAAGAGCCGCGCAACGGGCUGCAGAGGUUAACGAGAACCUGAGGUUAAUUCAUAACAUUGUCGGUUACUCAGCACAACACUCGCAUUAAUUCAGCUGACUGCCUCUUGCCACGUUGGGAAACACAUGCUGAAGUCAGCAGGGAGCACAGAGAACAAGCACGAGAGCAGGGUGUUCAGUAUUUUGCUGGCCAGCUAAGGUAGGACGGGAGCACCUGACACGAAAUUAUUUUCCUGUUGCCUUUGGGGUUCUCCCAGCCCACUGAUGGGGAGAUAAAGCACCAAGGAGCCGUCAGAGCCUGGUUCCCUGCCUGUGGCCACCUCUUUCCUGUGGGUCUGUUGGACCUGAUCAAAUUUGAGUGGAAAAAGCCAAUCUACCUUUGCCUGAUGCUUUAAUUGCAGUGCUGGCUCACACGUGAGGUCCCCCGGUGCUCCUCUCCAUGAGGAUACAGCNNNNNNNNNNCCUGCCUGUGGCCACCUCUUUCCUGUGGGUCUGUUGGACCUGAUCAAAUUUGAGUGGAAAAAGCCAAUCUACCUUUGCCUGAUGCUUUAAUUGCAGUGCUGGCUCACACGUGAGGUCCCCUGGUGCUCCUCUCCGUGAGGAUACAGCUUGGAGCCCCCGAUGCAGAUCAGCCUGGGGCUAGCUCCUGACACGGACCCAUUCUCUCCCACUUUGGAAGUGAGUUCAGCUCUCUGGUUAAAAGCCAAAAAAAAAAAGCCCAGCCGGAUGUUAGAAGAUAGCGCUGAGUGGCCAUCACACAGCAAUUCCUUUUGCUUAUCCUUCGGAAACUUUCCUAUGCAAGGAAGCCCCCCAAACCCUGCCACGUUUCUCCCCAUCUGUUCCUUUUGUCUGACUGGGGGGCUCCCAGGCUCACUUAGUGAAACAGCCAUCCAUCAAGCAAUUGCUGCUAAACCUCCUCCUUUUCCAGAGAGCCCAGGAUAUCCCAUCUGUUCCAAAAGACGUCUCAUUU